rnacentral:rRNA from 1 species
AAUAGAUACCCCGGUAGUCCACGCCCUAAACGAUGUCAACUAGUUGUCGGAUCUGUUAAAAGAUUUGGUAACGUAGCUAACGCGUGAAGUUGACCGCCUGGGAAGUACGGUCGCAAGAUUAAAACUCAAAGGAAUUGACGGGGACCCGCACAAGCGGUGGAUUAUGUGGAUUAAUUCGAUGCAACGCGAAAAACCUUACCUACCCUUGACAUGCUCGAAAUUCCACAGAGAUGUGGAAGUGCCCGAAAGGGAAUCGAGGCACAGGUGCUGCAUGGCUGUCGUCAGCUCGUGUCGUGAGAUGUUGGGUUAAGUUCCGCAACGAGCGCAACCCUUGUCACUAAUUGCCAUCAUUAAGUUGGGCACUUUAGUGAGACUGCCGGUGACAAACCGGAGGAAGGUGGGGAUGACGUCAAGUCCUCAUGGCCCUUAUGGGUAGGGCUUCACACGUAAUACAAUGGCGCGUACAGAGGGUUGCCAACCCGCGAGGGGGAGCUAAUCUCAGAAAGCGCGUCGUAGUCCGGAUCGGAGUCUGCAACUCGACUCCG